rnacentral:RNase_P_RNA from 1 species
CAAGUUGGCUGAGUGAUCGCGGUUGGCGCUGCGGCGCUGGCUGAGGAAAGUCCGCACUCCACAGAGCACGGUGCCGGCUAACAGCCGGGCGGGGCGACCCGACGGAAUAGUGCAACAGAGAGGUAUAUUGCCCAUGCAGUGGCGUGAGCCAAUGUAGCCUGGGGCUUUAGCCCCAGGGGGCGAGGGUGAAACGGCGGUGUAAGAGACCACCGGCAGCGGCCGUAAUGUCGCUGGCCAGGCAAACCCCACCGGGAGCAAGACCAAGCAGGGCGAAGGGGCGGCUCGUCCCGUCUGACGUCCGGGUAGGUCGCACGAGGCUGUUAGCAAUAACAGUCCCAGAUAGAUGAUCACUGCGCAGGUUCGCCUGCGACACAGAAUGCGGCUUAUAGGCCAACUUGGCAC